rnacentral:rRNA from 1 species
UAUGUGAUCGUCUCUCGCAUAUCAAUAAGCGGAGGAAAAGAAACUAACAAGGAUUCCCCUAGUAACGGCGAGUGAAGCGGGAAGAGCUCAAAUUUGAAAUCUUAAAGGGUUUCCCUUUACGAAUUGUAGUUUAAAGAAGUGUUUUCUGUUGAGGUUUUGGUAAAAGUUCUUUGGAAUAGGACAUCAUAGAGGGUGAGAAUCCCGUAUUUGACCUUUACUUUCAACUUUGUGAUACACUUUCAAAGAGUCGGAUUGUUUGGGAAUGCAGUCCAAAAUGGGUGGUAAAUUUCAUCUAAAGCUAAAUAUUGGCGAGAGACCGAUAGCGAACAAGUACCGUGAGGGAAAGAUGAAAAGAACUUUGAAAAGAGAGUUAAACAGUACGUGAAAUUGUCAAAAGGGAAGCGUUUGACACCAGUGUUGUUUUUCUGAAAAUCAAUUAAAGAACUGUUUAUGCUAAGCUGUUUAGACUUUAUCAGCUAACUGUUUAGUUUUGAGCUUUUCUUUAAUGCACUUUUCAGUUAACAAGUCAACAUCAAUUUCUUUUGCUGUAAAAAAGCUUGAGGAAGGUGGCUUGAGAUUCGUCUUAAGUGUUUAUAGCCUCUUGCCUAUGCAGUCGGAGAGAUUGAGGUCUGCAGCGUAGAUCCUUCGGGGCUAAAUGCAUUUGUGCUAAGUUAUAGCAUUUUAUAGACAACUUGUUGACUAUGAUUUGUCUUGUAGCUUACUCGCUUAUGUUAUUUUACCUACGCUUAGGAUGUUGAUCUCUCACAGUCGAGC